rnacentral:rRNA from 1 species
UGGGUAACCUGCCUCAAAGAGGGGAAUAGCCUCCCGAAAGGGAGAUUAAUACCGCAUAAUAUGUUUAGGUCGCAUGACUUUAACAUCAAAGGAUUUUCUUUUAGAAAUUCCACUUUGAGAUGGACCCGCGGCGCAUUAGCUAGUUGGUGAGGUAACGGCUCACCAAGGCAACGAUGCGUAGCCGACCUGAGAGGGUGAUCCGGCCACAUUGGAACUGAGACACGGUCCAGACCUCCGUAGGAGG